UACAGAGGUCUCAAGCGUUGUUCGGAUUCAUUGGGCGUAAAGGGUGCGUAGGCGGCGCGGUAAGUCGGGUGUGAAAUUUCGGAGCUUAACUCCGAAACUGCAUUCGAUACUGGCGUGCUUGAGGACUGGAGAGGAGACUGGAAUUCACGGUGUAGCAGUGAAAUGCGUAGAGAUCAUGAGGAAGACCAGUGGCGAAGGCGGGUCUCUGGACAGUUCCUGACACUGAGACACGAAGGCCAGGGGAGCAAACGGG
rnacentral:rRNA from 1 species